GGUUCGAUGGUGUAGUUGGUUAUCACUUCUGUCUAACAUUCGAAUGAGAUGCGGUAUAUAACCAAUUCCCUCGGUUGUGCACAGGCGGUCCUCAGUUCGAACCUGGGUCGAAUCA